ACACUGUACGAGUUUGAUCCUGGCUCAGAACGAACGCUGGCGGUAUGCUUUACACAUGCAAGUCGAACGGGUAAGAGCCGUAGCAAUACGGAAUUCUGCUAGUGGCAAACGGGUGAGUAACGCGUGGGAAACUACCUUGUAGUACGGAAUAGCCCCGGGAAACUGGGAUUAAUACCGUAUACGCUCUUCGGAGGAAAGAUUUAUCGCUAUAAGAUGUGCCCGCGUUAGAUUAGCUAGUUGGUAGGGUAACGGCCUACCAAGGCGACGAUCAAUAGCUGGCGUGAGAGCGCGACCAGCCACACUGGAACUGAGACACGGUCCAGACUCCUACGGGAGGCAGCAGUAGGGAAUAUUGGACAAUGGGCGAAAGCCUGAUCCAGCCAUGCUGCGUGAUAGAUGAAGGCCCUCUGGGUUGUAAAUAUCUUUUAUCUGGGAAGAAACAAUCUUAUUCUUAAGAUCUUGACGGUACCAGAGGAAUAAGCACCGGCUAACUCCGUG
rnacentral:rRNA from 1 species